GGUUGGCAGGGUGUGCUGGGGCCUGGAGGAGGCGCCGCGCGGCCAGGGAGCCAGCGGGAGGCCGCGCCUGGCAGGUUUCUGAAACAGAUCGUGAGCUUCAUCAAGAGAAUUCAACUGGAAAACCAAGACUGGUAGACUCUCUUUUUCUUCAGACAAUAGGCAGGAGCCAGGCAGAGUCCAGGGAUUCUUGGAACACCUAUCUUUUCUUCGGAGGACACUAAGUUCUAUUUGAAGACAAAGUUCAAUAUGGCAACAGGACUGAUGGGACACGAAGGAGUCGCUACCGUGAUUUGGUGACAGUUCUUCAAAACGACAGUGUCUCAAGGAAAGGUGGACCUAGGAACUCCUGAACUUUUGGGUUGCCUUAAGUGAGAAAUCAGCAUGGCUCAGGUAAAAAGCUCUAGAGUCCUCCUCCAAGAUAACUGGGAAGCCUGUUUGCAGUUUCACUCUUGAAUGCUGCCUUAGUCAACAUAUUGACCAACCCCAGUGAUCCAAGCUCUGUAUUAAGCACCAGGGGGAGAUCUAGAGGAAGGAAAGGAGACAGGCCACAGCCCCUGCCUUCAGGGAGCUUCCAGUCAAAUGAAGGAGGUAGGCUAUACUGCAUCACAGGCACUGAUGGGACAUUUGCAAAGCAACGUGUACUCAGUUUACAUUUGGUACAUUAAGUGCUGAGGGGUGUAAGGGAGUGAAUAGUACGGUGAAUGCUUCUUUUGUUUUUUUCCAACAGGAAUUUAUUGAGUUCCUGUUGCAUGCAAGGCAUUGUGCUGGGAAUACAAAGAUGAAUACGAUUGUCCUUGUCCCCAGUGAGCUUCCAGGCUAGUUGGGGUCGGGAGAGGGAUGGAAAGCCAUUUAUUUUUAUAUUCACAAUGCCUUGUAUAGUGGCUGGCUAGUAGUAGAGACUCUGAAUCUGUUGAUUGAGGAAUGUGCAAUAAUAGGGGUAUGUACAUAGGAGAGAACAGUACUUCUGCUUGGAUAG
rnacentral:lncRNA from 1 species